UUCGGAUGCGUUCGUCCAGAUCUGUUCCCAGAUCAGGACCAAAAUUCAGUUAUCCCAAAUCUACCAUGCAUUAGAUGAAGACUAAGUCGCAACCUCAAUGUUAUUUUCCAACCUACUUAGAUUUGUUCUAGCUUUUUUUCCAGAGAAUAGUUUCUUAUUUCUGAAGAUACAUCAAACUACAUAACUAAGAGAUGGUUCCUCUCAG